UGAGGAAUAUUGGUCAAUGGGCGAGAGCCUGAACCAGCCAAGUAGCGUGCAGGAUGACGGCCCUAUGGGUUGUAAACUGCUUUUAUAUGGGAAUAAAGUGAGGGACGUGUCCCUUAUUGCAUGUACCAUACGAAUAAGGACCGGCUAAUUCCGUGCCAGUAGCCGCGGUAAUACGGAAGGUCCAGGCGUUAUCCGGAUUUAUUGGGUUUAAAGGGAGCGUAGGCUGUUUGUUAAGCGUGUUGUGAAAUGUAGGAGCUCAACUUGUAGAUUGCAGCGCGAACUGGCAGACUUGAGUGCGCACAACGUAGGCGGAAUUCAUGGUGUAGCGGUGAAAUGCUUAGAUAUCAUGACGAACUCCGAUUGCGAAGGCAGCUUACGGGGGCGCAACUGACGCUAAAGCUCGAAGGUGCGGGUAUCGAACAGG
rnacentral:rRNA from 1 species